rnacentral:rRNA from 1 species
UACGUAGGGUGCGAGCGUUGUCCGGAAUUAUUGGGCGUAAAGAGCUCGUAGGUGGUUUGUCGCGUUGUUCGUGAAAACUCACAGCUCAACUGUGGGCGUGCCGGGCGAUACGGGGCAGACUAGAGUACUGCAGGGGAGACUGGAAGUUCCUGGUGUAGCGGUGGAAUGCGCAGAUAUCAGGAGGAACACCGGUGGCGAAGGCGGGUCUCUGGGCAGUAACUGACGCUGAGGAGCGAAAGCCGUGGGGAGCGAACAGG